AAGUAGCCUUUCCCUGCCUCCAGGAGCUCACGAAACGCUGCCACACCGAGCGAAUGCAACGCGUACACACGUCCACACUCGAACAGCACAAGCAAGAGACCGGCUGGGUGUGGAAUAGAGGCGCACAUCGCGCAACGCAUUCACAGCAUGCACACGCGCGCACCCCGACCCCGUCCCUCCCCGCGCGCCCUCACACCCCGGCGCCCAAGACCCCCGGCCCACGAACCUCACCAGACAGCCGGGUAACUUUCCAGUCUGUUUUCACUGCAGGCUCUCUCCACUUCGCCUUCCCUCCCAGAGCUCAAACAGGCGCACGUACCCUGGACAUGCCCUCCUCUGUCACACCAAUGCCUUUCUACGAAGACAUGUGACCCCGAAGCAGCUCGUCGACGCGCCCCUCCCGGACUCUGGGGCCAUAACUUACAUCUAGUUUGCCAGUUCACGUGAUGCUGGGGGCAGGGGUUGAAUCGAGUUUCGAGGGACAGAGAUUAUACCUUCCGAAUCUGCAGGUCUUUGGGAAGGGAGCUUUCUUGAUCACCCAAGAAGAUAAUGCUCUCUCGUCACCUUUUGAGUACAUUUUUUUUUCCUGAAGGGUGCAAUAUGGUUUCCUAAAUAUAUAUGUACACCCCACCGCAUUAUUUGCUGUGCUCUGGAGUUGUGAGAUCUCCAUGUGGCUUUUUCCCUUUCCUUCUGCCCCCAGAGGAAUUUCACCAGCAAAUUCACGGAGGACAAGGGCAGUUUCUGUGUUGAGAGAUGGAAAGUAUAGUGAGGGUCUAUUCCUCACUGUGCAUCUAGAGAAUGUUACAACCAACUCUCUUGGGUUUUUAAACCACAUGGUGGCAGUGGGGCUCAUGUAACAUUUGUAUACACUGUUACAUACAUAAACUUAUAUUAAAAAUGAGGCCCAUGUAAAAUAUGUUGAAUGAGACCAUUAAGUUUCAGAGGAGGAGGAAUAUAGUCCUGUUUGUUUUUGUGCUAACUGGAGGAAAAUCGCGAAAGUACACAAAGUACCUUUUCAUGAAGCUAUCCCAGAGUCUGUACAUUUUAUAAAGACCUCAAAAAAAAAAAAAUUAGAGGAGAAAGGAGUGAGGAAGAAUUCCACAAGAAAAGAGAAAAUAAGUAAUUGUAUGUCACUGUAAUAAUGGACUUUUAAGUUGAUGGGCUGAAUUUUUAUUAGCGAUUUAAUGACAAAAAGGAGAAAAACAGAUUUUCAAAGUCUUCACUUUAAAAAAAAAUUUCAGAUUCAGGGGUACAAGUGCAGUCGCAUUACACGGACAUAACACAUAGUGGUGAGGUCUGGGCUUUUAGCGCACCUAUUACCCUAAUAAUGUGCACUGUACCUAAUAAGUUGUAAUUCCUACCUCACCCACCUCCCACCCUCCCACCUAUUGGAGUCCCCAGUGUCUGUUAUUCCAUUCUGGAUACUCAUGCCUGCCCAUUGUUUAGCUGCCACUUAUAAGAGAUUCUGCAGUUUUUGACUUUGUUUCUGAGUAAUUUCACUUAGGAUAAUGGCCUCUAGUUCCAUCCAUGUUGCUGCAAAAGAUAUGAUUUCAUUGUUUUUGUGGCUGGGUAGUAUUCCAUUGUGUGUGUGUGUGUGUGUGUGUGUGUGUGUGUGUGUGUGUAGUACCCCUGAAUCAAAAAAAAAUUUUCCCAGUUUUUCAGGUGAUAGGUACACAGUGUAUGUGUGUGUAUACCACCAUAGUGUGUGUGUAUAUAUUUUGUAUAUAUAUAUAUAUAUAUAUAUGUGUAUAUAUAUAAUAUAAAACCACAUUUAUAAAUCCAAUCACCCCUUAAUGGACACGUAGGUUGACUCCAUGAUUUUGCUAUUGUGAAUAAUGCUGCAAAGUCCUUACAUUUCAUUGAGUCCUGGGCUUUUUUAAACAAUGGGUUGCUAAUUAAUGGAUUAUAAAAUUGAUGUACUGGGU
rnacentral:lncRNA from 10 species